rnacentral:lncRNA from 1 species
CUGGGCCAGACUGCUCAUUGACGUCACUGGAGUUUGGAAGGUUGUUGUGAAAUGGACAGUCGGGUGAUUGACUUUAGCAUGGUCAGUAAGCUAUAUAAACCUUUCCUGCCAACUUCUCAUUCACCUCAAGAGGGCUAUUAAGGGAGGGUGAAGACACGCUAAGGACUGAUCAACCCAAAGGUCUGUUUCCCUCUCCCCUGCUCGU